rnacentral:lncRNA from 1 species
UUUUCCACUCCCAUCUCUUUUUUUACUCUCACUAAUCAACUCCCUUCCACUUCUCGUCGUUAUCGCUUUACAAUGCUCCUUUGGAUUUGUUUGCGUGUUUGCCGAAAAAGAUGGUCCGGGUUGUUGUUCCGCUAGUUGUUUAGCAAGUUGACCGACUUGAGUUUCGAGAUUUUUGAUUGCCGCAUCGUUACUCUUUUGAUUAGCCAUCGACAAUUGCAUAAAUUGUGUCAAUGUCUCUUCUAACUUUGAAGUCACGACCGGCGGUUGUUGAGGUUGGUAAGGAUUUUGAUGGCUAGAAGUACCACCCCCAUAACCUUGGUUAUGGUGAUAGUUAGCCCUUGGUUG